AGAUUGAACGCUGGCGGCAUGCCUUACACAUGCAAGUCGAACGGCAGCACGGGAGCAAUCCUGGUGGCGAGUGGCGAACGGGUGAGUAAUAUAUCGGAACGUGCCCAGUCGUGGGGGAUAACGUAGAGAAAUUUACGCUAAUACCGCAUACGAUCCAAGGAUGAAAGCGGGGGACCGUAAGGCCUCGCGCGACUGGAGCGGCUGAUAUCAGAUUAGCUUGUUGGUGAGGUAAAAGCUCACCAAGGCGACGAUCUGUAGCUGGUUUGAGAGAACGACCAGCCACACUGGGACUGAGACACGG
rnacentral:rRNA from 1 species